rnacentral:sRNA from 2 species
GGACCGACACCGCCGAGUCGCUUCCGAGCGAGCCGGGGACCCAGGUUUUCCGGGGUGAAUCCGCAGCCACUGCGGUAGGGCGUCCACCUUCCCGCCCGAACCCGUCAGCUAACCCGGUAGGCGGUCAGGAAGAAGGA